UGCACACCGGCGAUCUUAACGU
rnacentral:miRNA from 1 species